rnacentral:rRNA from 1 species
GAUGAACGCUGGCGGCGUGCCUAAUACAUGCAAGUCGAGCGAACAGACGAGGAGCUUGCUCCUCUGACGUUAGCGGCGGACGGGUGAGUAACACGUGGAUAACCUACCUAUAAGACUGGGAUAACUUCGAGAAUCCGGAGCUAAUCCCGGAUAAUCUAUUGAACCGCAUGGUUCAAUGGUGAAAGACGGCUUUGCUGUCGGUUGUCGCUGGAUGCGCGCCGCAUUAGCUUGUUGGGAGGGUAGCGGCUUACCAAGGCAACGACGGGUAGCAGGCAUGAGAGGGUGACCGGCCACAGUGGGACUGAGAUACGGCCCAGACUGCUACGGGAGGCAGCAGUGGGGAAUAUUGCACAAUGGGCGGAAGCCUGAUGCAGCAACGCCGCGUGCGGGAUGACGGCCUUCGGGUUGUAAACCGCUUUCGCCUGUGAUGAAGCGUGAGUGACGGUAAUGGGUAAAGAAGCACCGGCUAACUACGUG